rnacentral:lncRNA from 1 species
CGACAAAAGCUCGUUUUGGGAAGCAACGUAACAUGAAUAUUAUUGUCUUCAUUGUUUCUUAUUUUUUCAGCCUCUGACUAUAAAUUCAAAAUUUGGUCAAGAGAAGACGUUAUACUAUCAAUACAUAUGAGUGAAGAAGUAGAAAACAACUAUUACAGGCUGCCAUGGCACUACGACCUACCUUACUCUAGCCAACCUCCUGGCUCCAGCAUAAUUGCCCUCCUCGAGUGCGAAACACCGGAGGAAGA